rnacentral:rRNA from 1 species
AUUGAACGCUGGCGGAAUGCUUUACACAUGCAAGUCGAGCGGCAGCGCGGGGGGCAACCCUGGCGGCGAGCGGCGAACGGGUGAGUAAUACAUCGGAACGUGUCCUUCAAGUGGGGGAUAGCUCGGCGAAAGCCGGAUUAAUACCGCAUAAGCUCUGAGGAGGAAAGCGGGGGACUGGUAACGGCCUCGCGCUGUUGGAGCGGCCGAUGUCGGAUUAGCUAGUUGGUGGGGUAAAGGCCCACCAAGGCGACGAUCCGUAGCUGGUCUGAGAGGAUGAUCAGCCACACUGGAACUGAGACACGGUCCAGACUCCUACGGGAGGCAGCAGUAGGGGAAUUUUGGACAAUGGGGGCAACCCUGAUCCAGCCAUUCCGCGUGAGUGAAG